rnacentral:rRNA from 1 species
UACGAAGGGGGCUAGCGUUGUUCGGAAUCACUGGGCGUAAAGGGUGCGUAGGCGGGUCUUUAAGUCAGGGGUGAAAUCCUGGAGCUCAACUCCAGAACUGCCUUUGAUACUGAAGAUCUCGAGUCCGGAAGAGGUGAGUGGAACUCCGAGUGUAGAGGUGAAAUUCGUAGAUAUUCGGAAGAACACCAGUGGCGAAGGCGGCUCACUGGUCCGGUACUGACGCUGAGGCGCGAAAGCGUGGGGAGCAAACAGG